rnacentral:rRNA from 1 species
GUAACGAGCGCAACCCUUGUCCUUAGUUACCAGCACGUUAUGGUGGGCACUCUAAGGAGACUGCCGGUGACAAACCGGAGGAAGGUGGGGAUGACGUCAAGUCAUCAUGGCCCUUACGGCCUGGGCUACACACGUGCUACAAUGGUCGGUACAAAGGGUUGCCAAGCCGCGAGGUGGAGCUAAUCCCAUAAAACCGAUCGUAGUCCGGAUCGCAGUCUGCAACUCGACUGCGUGAAGUCGGAAUCGACUUAGUAAUCGUGAACUCACGAAUGUCACGGUGAAUACGUUCCCGGGCCUU